rnacentral:rRNA from 1 species
UGGGGAAUCUUCCGCAAUGGACGAAAGUCUGACGGAGCAACGCCGCGUGAGUGAAGAAGGUUUUCGGAUCGUAAAACUCUGUCUUUUGGGGCGAACGUGAGUAUGGUGAACAAUCAUAGUCAGUGACGGUACCAAAGGAGGAAGCCACGGCUAACUACGUGCCAGCAGCCGCGGUAAUACGUAGGUGGCAAGCGUUGUCCGGAAUUAUUGGGCGUAAAGAGCGCGUAGGCGGGAUAGUCAGUCUGUUGUAAAGUGCGGGGCUCAACCCCGUGAUCGCAAUGGAAACAGCUAUUCUUGAGUGCAGGAGAGGAAAGUGGAAUUCCCAGUGUAGCGGUGAAAUGCGUAGAUAUUGGGAGGAACACCAGUGGCGAAGGCGACUUUCUGGACUGUGUCUGACGCUGAGGCGCGAAAGCCAGGGGAGCGAACGGGAUUAGAUACCCCGGUAGUCCUGGCCGUAAACGAUGGGUACUAGGUGUGGGAGGUAUCGACCCCUUCCGUGCCGGAGUUAACGCAAUAAGUACCCCGCCUGGGGAGUACGGUCGCAAGAUUAAAACUCAAAUGAAUUGACGGGGUCAUAGCUGUUUCCUG